GCUGUUUUUUGCUAUUUUCUACUGUAAGAAAAGUAUUCUUUAAGUAGAUUAUCUCUGAUGUAAGUUCAUACCAAAUACCUGAUCAACAGUAAUGAUAUCUUAAAUAGUGAAUAUUCAUGAUCCAUCACAAGGAAAACUGUCAGCAGUACUUAGCAGUGAACAGAUAAGGUAAAUGUCAAUAUAAUUCAAAUUUGGUUUUAGAGAGCAAAUUAAGAUUCAAUUAAUUCUCCUAUGAAUCCUGAAUGUGAUAAUGCUAUUCAAACAUUCCACAUUUGGGUUAGGAGCUCAAUAACUCAGGACAGGGUUCUCUACUAAUCUCAAAUUAGCAAAACAACGUAAGUAUUUGUGAGAAGACUGAAGAGUAUAUAGAAUUUUCUCAGAAUUUUUUCAGUACUGGGGAUUGAACCACGGGCCUUUGCAGUAAGCUAUAUCUCAGCUUUUUUUUUUUUUUUUUUUUUUUUUUUUUUUACCAGGGAUCAAACUCAGGACCUUGUACUUGUGAGACAGGCAGCAGCACCACUGAGCUAAAUCUCCGGCCCUUUUUUGUUUUGUUUUUUUUUUUUUGACACAAGGUCUCAUUAAGUUUCUAAGUUGCCCAGGCUGAGCUCAAAUGUUCUACCCUCUUGCCUCAGCCUCCCAAAGUGCUAUGAUUACAAGCAUGUGCCACCACACCUAACUUUGUCUCUUCUUAUCUAUUUUGAAAAAUGCUAAGAAAGCUUGGAUAGUCUUAACUAGAAUCAAACCUGUUGUGGUUUUUCAGAUUCAGGCCUAGUGUCAUGGUUCUGAUAGCUUUAUGCCAGCCUUCAUGUUCCAUCUUUCCAGUGGUAUUCACUGACUGAUAAGAUAGCAUCUUUGCCUUCAUUUGGGGGGAAUUAAAGGAGAGUCUCCCCCUGCUUCAAGGAAUUUUUUUUUUAAUCAGAAGAUCUUGACAAGGGUUAUAUAACUUUGGACAACUUAAAUUCUUGAAUAUGUCGGAGAACACUUCCUGUGCAUGGUUUUUAAUCUUUCUCUCCCACCUUACUCUGCUUCUUUUUAUUGGGGUUGAAACUUCAUGCCAUAUGUACCCACUCAGUUUUCCUUUUGGCACUGUUUGUUUACUCAUUGUACGAGUUCACAUUGUGUCAAAUGCUGACAAAACCUCUAAGGCUGUCAAGAAAAGGCUUGAAAGUUUAUUUGUCAUAGUGUAUAGUCAUGAUAAAAUGUCUUAAUAUUAUUUGGCUAUGUAGUACAUAGGAACAGAAAACAACAAAUAAAG
rnacentral:lncRNA from 1 species